GAAUAGAAAAAGAAAUUAAGAAAAAGGCAAGAAAGGUUAUCUUCUCCGGUUCUCCCUCCCCUCCCUGUCCGGCUGUCCCCUCGCUGUACACAGGGUGUCUGUCUGUCACCGAGCAGCGGGCAGCCGGCAGGCAAUGCGAUGAUAGUAGCUGCUGCUGCCCCUGCGCCGCCAGUUCCAGCACCACCGGGCAAACCGCCCUUUCCUCUCUCCUCCUUCUCCCUCCGCCGCCGCUUGUGGUUCUCAAACGGCAACGCGCAUGGAAGAGACAGCGCCACCGCCGCCACGAGCAGCAGGGCGACGAGGAGGUGGUGGUGGUCCGACCCCGGCGGCAGCCGAGAAGACUACGGCUCCUCUUCUCUAGAGGAGGAGGAGGACGGUUACGAUUAGGCAGCGUUCCCCGGAUUUGGAGGGGCCGCGGCGGAGCUGUUCGACGAGCCCUGGUUCUCCAAGGAAGACACUCCACAAAGUAUACUUUUACUCAAGCAGACUUGCAAAAGUGGUUUGUUGAUGAUUGGGAUAAAAGAGCUCCUGUAAAAGCCUCUAUCGAUGGGUGCACCAAUGACUUUUUAAUGGUUGACCUUUCUACAAAGGACAUGCCAGCGACUAAAGCCGAUUCAAUAGAUGUUUUAUGUGAUUAUAUCAUGACAAUAGAAGACGAUACGACACUAGAGUAAGUGCUCAUUGAUUUAUCUAUUUUAUGUAUACCAACUACUUAGAUUCUUGAUAUAGACUUUCGUCAUGCUACAUUACAGGAUGACAUCAGUGCGAAGUUUUAAUUCUUUUAAGAUAUAAAUAUCUGUCAAAUACCUGCAAAACAUACUAACGAUAAAUCAAGAUAUGAUUCUAAGAUAUUUUGACAUGGCUGUUCGGCUGCUUGCCAAUAGUCACGUAGGCCGAAAGGAGAAAUCAUAAAUAAUAGAAAGCAUUAUAUGGACAUGCGUUUCUCGGUAAGUUUGUUUCCAAUCAUUAAUGUAUUAAUAUAUAGUAUCUACAUCUAAUCCUCAUGUGGACAUGUAUAUAUACUGUCCAGAGAAUGGUUGUUUUGGUAAACUUCCAAAGUACCACCAGGAUCCUACAACAGAAGAGUUAGCUAAAACACUCGAUUGUUGGCCAUCAAUGAAUUAUUAUAUCACGAGUUGUAGGUUCUUAUGCCAUGGAAAUUUAACGGAUGUCACGCCCUUUUCGUUAUAGAUCAUGUUAAAAAGCAUGUGACUUUUAUCGACUUUACACCGACUCAAGAUUGGUGUAAACACAUGUCAUACAAGAGGUUCGCGGAAGCGAUUAUCAUGACCUCAAAGAAAUAUAAGAUUGCUUACAGCAAGAAAUGUUCUAGAUGGGCGGAGGAUAUCUUUAAGUGGGAACAUACAAUUCAGACUAGUGUUCCAAUUGACUUAAGAGGGUUUAAUACUAGCUACCUCGUUCUACAAGCUAUGACCAUGUGGGGGAAUGACAGACAAAUGAAAUUUGUUGGGAUGAAUGUAGUACGUUCGUUUUAUGUUCAAAUCAUACAUUCCAGCUACCUCGCUCUACAAGAUAAUACGUUUUGUUCUCUUAUGUCUUUGUCUGUAGAAUGCAAAGAUUCUUUGAAGGAACUUUGUGAUUGAUCUGUUAAGUUAUGAAGACAAUUCGUGCCGAUAUGCCAUCCCUGCAAACAUACAACUGAGACUUAUCGAUAUCGCUAAAAAGGAUUAG